GGUCUCCCCUCGACCGAUCCCCCUCCUCUUCUUCCCUCUCCGCCGCCUAGGUUAGCCCCACGCGCCUCGCUGUCGCCCUGCCCACCAUGACCCGAGCGAGCAAGAGCUCAAGCUCGGGGUAGCCGUCCACGUCACGCCUCCGACCCACCUGUUGCCGUCGAGAGGACCGUCAAGUACCUCUCUGCCCUCUUCUGCACGCACGCACCUCUACAGCCCUGGAUCGACUACCACAACGACAUCUUCUCCCUCUGCUUCGCGGACAGCAGCCCCACCAAGUUCAGCGCUCCCUUGCGUCAUCUCCGGCUCGUCUCCGUCGACCCCAUCGUGUCCUAGGUGCACUCUUGGACUUCCAAGUUGAGGCCAGGUUCUGAUGUGGACAUAGCUAUCAUAGAAACGUCUACAAAUAUUACAUCACAAAUUAUUAACCAGGAAUAAAAGAAUAAAAGAAGCAAGAGACUACUAUGCCUUAAAACCAGAUGGAGCAAUCCAUGCAUGCAUGCGCUCCAUCAUCCUUGCAUGCAUGCCCGCCGAACCAUCCAUUACACCCCAUCCAUCAUCGAUGUCACGUGGAGUGCACAGGAAACAAAGGCCUUUUGAUUUGAAUCCGUUGAUCAGUAUCAGCGACUUGGGCCAUGUAUUGUGGGCUGCGCCAAGUCUCCUCACGUCAGGGCCUGCAGCUUCGGCCUUUGUACUGUCCAACUCGUGCACAACUUCCUUCGAUCAGCAGACCGGCUGGAACACAUCUACGUACUCGUUUGCGUUUGUACCUCUUUAAUAAAUAGCUAGUCUAGGUUAGGGUUUAGACUUGGGUUUUGUUUAGAGAAGUUUAGCUAUUGCUACUUUUAUUUGUCUUCGCUCGUAGAGGCUAGUGCGACCGUCAAGACAUCCUAUCGGAACCCCAUCUUGUGAGAUUAAUCCCAUCUAGCAUAUUCGCAAUUUUGAGAUUGCUUGGCUAUUAUUUUCUUGCAUGUUCUUUGAUUUGCUUGCAGGAAAAAUCCUUCGUGGAUAGGUCGAUCGCGUCGUUGGCUCGGUCAAUAAUGCCGUGGAGUUGGUUCAGCGAUUGCUGUGGAUAUCAGUCAUGUACGGUUCUUCCUGUACGGUUGGUAGCCGGAUCGUGAGGGUCAAGUCCCACCCAAAAUCGUAGUUAUCCUCUCUCAUCGAAAGAUCGGGUCCCAGUGCACAUCAAGUGGUAUCAGUUUUCAGGUUCAUCGGUGAGAGAUUUACAGUUUUCUUAGAUUAGAUUGAUUUUAGUCCUACAACCCACAAAAAGCCAAAAAAAUUAGAUUAGUUCAUCCACUGCACCUACCUUUUUAGCCUCUAGCAAUUUUUGCAUCUAGUAUUUGUGUA